rnacentral:rRNA from 1 species
GUAGGGAAUAUUGGGCAAUGGAGGCAACUCUGACGCAGCCAUGCCGCGUGCAGGAAGAAGGCGCUACGCGUUGUAAACUGCUUUUAACCGGGAAGAAACCCCAGGACGUGUCCUGGGUUGACGGUACCGGAGGAAUAAGCACCGGCUAACUUCGUGCCAGCAGCCGCGGUAAUACGAAUGGUGCAAGCGUUAUCCGGAUUCAUUGGGUUUAAAGGGUGCGUAGGCGGAGCGUUAAGUCAGUGGUGAAAUCCUGCAGCUUAACUGUAGACUUGCCAUUGAUACUGGCGCUCUUGAGUGCGCUUGAAGUGGGCGGAAUGUGCCGUGUAGCGGUGAAAUGCUUAGAUAUGGCACAGAACACCAAUUGCGAAGGCAGCUCACUAAGGCGAUACUGACGCUGAGGCACGAAAGCGUGGGGAUCGAACAGGAUUAGAAACCCCUGUAGUCC